GGGUUGUGAGGUUAAGCGACUAAGCGUACACGGUGGAUGCCCUGGCAGUCAGAGGCGAUGAAGGACGUGCUAAUCUGCGAUAAGCGUCGGUAAGGUGAUAUGAACCGUUAUAACCGGCGAUUUCCGAAUGGGGAAACCCAGUGUGAUUCGUCACACUAUCAUUAACUGAAUCCAUAGGUUAAUGAGGCGAACCGGGGGAACUGAAACAUCUAAGUACCCCGAGGAAAAGAAAUCAACCGAGAUUCCCCCAGUAGCGGCGAGCGAACGGGGAGGAGCCCAGAGCCUGAAUCAGUGUGUGUGUUAGUGGAAGCGUUUGGAAAGGCGCGCGAUACAGGGUGACAGCCCCGUACACAAAAAUGCACAUGCUGUGAGCUCGAUGAGUAGGGCGGGACACGUGGUAUCCUGUCUGAAUAUGGGGGGACCAUCCUCCAAGGCUAAAUACUCCUGACUGACCGAUAGUGAACCAGUACCGUGAGGGAAAGGCGAAAAGAACCCCGGCGAGGGGAGUGAAAAAGAACCUGAAACCGUGUACGUACAAGCAGUGGGAGCACAGAGCAAUCUGUGUGACUGCGUACCUUUUGUAUAAUGGGUCAGCGACUUAUAUUCUGUAGCAAGGUUAACCGAAUAGGGGAGCCGAAGGGAAACCGAGUCUUAACUGGGCGUUAAGUUGCAGGGUAUAGACCCGAAACCCGGUGAUCUAGCCAUGGGCAGGUUGAAGGUUGGGUAACACUAACUGGAGGACCGAACCGACUAAUGUUGAAAAAUUAGCGGAUGACUUGUGGCUGGGGGUGAAAGGCCAAUCAAACCGGGAGAUAGCUGGUUCUCCCCGAAAGCUAUUUAGGUAGCGCCUCGUGAAUUCAUCUCCGGGGGUAGAGCACUGUUUCGGCAAGGGGGUCAUCCCGACUUACCAACCCGAUGCAAACUGCGAAUACCGGAGAAUGUUAUCACGGGAGACACACGGCGGGUGCUAACGUCCGUCGUGAAGAGGGAAACAACCCAGACCGCCAGCUAAGGUCCCAAAGUCAUGGUUAAGUGGGAAACGAUGUGGGAAGGCCCAGACAGCCAGGAUGUUGGCUUAGAAGCAGCCAUCAUUUAAAGAAAGCGUAAUAGCUCACUGGUCGAGUCGGCCUGCGCGGAAGAUGUAACGGGGCUAAACCAUGCACCGAAGCUGCGGCAGCGACACUGUGUGUUGUUGGGUAGGGGAGCGUUCUGUAAGCCUGUGAAGGUGUGCUGUGAGGCAUGCUGGAGGUAUCAGAAGUGCGAAUGCUGACAUAAGUAACGAUAAAGCGGGUGAAAAGCCCGCUCGCCGGAAGACCAAGGGUUCCUGUCCAACGUUAAUCGGGGCAGGGUGAGUCGACCCCUAAGGCGAGGCCGAAAGGCGUAGUCGAUGGGAAACAGGUUAAUAUUCCUGUACUUGGUGUUACUGCGAAGGGGGGACGGAGAAGGCUAUGUUGGCCGGGCGACGGUUGUCCCGGUUUAAGCGUGUAGGCUGGUUUUCCAGGCAAAUCCGGAAAAUCAAGGCUGAGGCGUGAUGACGAGGCACUACGGUGCUGAAGCAACAAAUGCCCUGCUUCCAGGAAAAGCCUCUAAGCAUCAGGUAACAUCAAAUCGUACCCCAAACCGACACAGGUGGUCAGGUAGAGAAUACCAAGGCGCUUGAGAGAACUCGGGUGAAGGAACUAGGCAAAAUGGUGCCGUAACUUCGGGAGAAGGCACGCUGAUAUGUAGGUGAAGUCCCUCGCGGAUGGAGCUGAAAUCAGUCGAAGAUACCAGCUGGCUGCAACUGUUUAUUAAAAACACAGCACUGUGCAAACACGAAAGUGGACGUAUACGGUGUGACGCCUGCCCGGUGCCGGAAGGUUAAUUGAUGGGGUCAGCGCAAGCGAAGCUCUUGAUCGAAGCCCCGGUAAACGGCGGCCGUAACUAUAACGGUCCUAAGGUAGCGAAAUUCCUUGUCGGGUAAGUUCCGACCUGCACGAAUGGCGUAAUGAUGGCCAGGCUGUCUCCACCCGAGACUCAGUGAAAUUGAACUCGCUGUGAAGAUGCAGUGUACCCGCGGCAAGACGGAAAGACCCCGUGAACCUUUACUAUAGCUUGACACUGAACAUUGAGCCUUGAUGUGUAGGAUAGGUGGGAGGCUUUGAAGUGUGGACGCCAGUCUGCAUGGAGCCGACCUUGAAAUACCACCCUUUAAUGUUUGAUGUUCUAACGUGGACCCGUGAUCCGGGUUGCGGACAGUGUCUGGUGGGUAGUUUGACUGGGGCGGUCUCCUCCUAAAGAGUAACGGAGGAGCACGAAGGUUGGCUAAUCCUGGUCGGACAUCAGGAGGUUAGUGCAAUGGCAUAAGCCAGCUUGACUGCGAGCGUGACGGCGCGAGCAGGUGCGAAAGCAGGUCAUAGUGAUCCGGUGGUUCUGAAUGGAAGGGCCAUCGCUCAACGGAUAAAAGGUACUCCGGGGAUAACAGGCUGAUACCGCCCAAGAGUUCAUAUCGACGGCGGUGUUUGGCACCUCGAUGUCGGCUCAUCACAUCCUGGGGCUGAAGUAGGUCCCAAGGGUAUGGCUGUUCGCCAUUUAAAGUGGUACGCGAGCUGGGUUUAGAACGUCGUGAGACAGUUCGGUCCCUAUCUGCCGUGGGCGCUGGAGAACUGAGGGGGGCUGCUCCUAGUACGAGAGGACCGGAGUGGACGCAUCACUGGUGUUCGGGUUGUCAUGCCAAUGGCACUGCCCGGUAGCUAAAUGCGGAAGAGAUAAGUGCUGAAAGCAUCUAAGCACGAAACUUGCCCCGAGAUGAGUUCUCCCUGACCCUUUAAGGGUCCUGAAGGAACGUUGAAGACGACGACGUUGAUAGGCCGGGUGUGUAAGCGCAGCGAUGCGUUGAGCUAACCGGUACUAAUGAACCGUGAGGCUUAACCUUACAACGCCGAAGGUGUUU
rnacentral:rRNA from 1 species